rnacentral:rRNA from 1 species
UUAGGAAUAUUGGACAAUGGGCGCAAGCCUGAUCCAGCCAUGCCGCGUGAGUGAUGAAGGCCUUCGGGUUGUAAAGCUCUUUAGCCGACGAUUAUAAUGACUGUAGUCGGAGAAUAAGCCCCGGCUAACUUCGUGCCAGCAGCCGCGGUAAUACGAAGGGGGCGAGCGUUAUUCGGAAUCACUGGGCGUAAAGCGUGCGUAGGUGGCUAAGUAAGUUAGGAGUGAAAGCCCAGGGCUCAACCUUGGAAUUGCUCUUAAAACUACAUAGCUUGAAUGUCGGAGAGGAUAGCGGAAUUUCCAGUGUAGCAGUGAAAUGCGUAGAUAUUGGAAGGAACACCAGUGGCGUAAGCGGCUAUCUGGACGACUAUUGACACUGAGGCACGAAAGCGUGGGGAUCAAA